rfam:Schistosoma haematobium scaffold677_26, whole genome shotgun sequence.
GCACUGCCGAGGAGUUCCACAACAGGAUGAAACGGUCGUCCAGUGC